UAAGUCAGGACAAAACAGGCAGAGGAGCA
rnacentral:piRNA from 1 species